rnacentral:rRNA from 1 species
AUCUACAGCCAUGACACCCUGAACGUGCCCAAUCUCAUCAGAUCUCAGAAGCUAAGCAGGGCUGGGCCUGGGUAAUACUUGGAUGGGAGACCAAGUGUUGUCAAGG